AUUUGAACUCAGGUCCUCCUGACUUCAGGGCCGGUGCUCUGCCCACUGCUCCACCUAGCUGCUCUGUAACAUCUCUUCUUUCCACUGACUUUGACACCACCUUGGCCCUGGCCCUCAUCACCUCCCUCCUAGACUUUGGCAAAAGAGGCUCAUUUGGAGGCUUUCGAGGUGCUUGAAUGAAGGGGAGUUCUAACACCAGGUCCUAAGUGGAACAGGGGUUGGGGGAAUCUUUCCUGAAAGAGGUGGUGUCUCACUUGGCUGCAGCUGGUGAAGAUGGAGAAGGGAAGGCAUUCUGGGAAGAAUCAAGCACAGCACAGAGGCAGGAGAGCACAAGGUAUUUUCUUUGGGGAGAAGAGAUGCUAAGUUCUCCAGUGUGGCUGGCACAGAAGAGUGUGUGUAGGGGGAUAACAUGAAGUAACAGAAGGUUGUGACAGGCCUUGUAUGCCCAGUAUGGUAUGCCAGGGUUAUGGAGGAUGAAUCCAUCAGAGGUACAGGACACUAACUUGCAUUGUCAAGGACAAGUUCAUGUAACAAUGUUAACAGAUGCUGCGGAAGAGGGAGGAGGAAGCUGAAUUAUUUACUUUUUGCACCUUUAUUUUCUCUGCUAAGGACAAUGAUCUUUGGAUUGGAGAGACUUAGCACCCGAAUGGUUAACAAGGAGUUGAAACCCAGGAUAAGUACAGGAAUAUCUAGCCCUCAGUGAGUUCAAGUCACAAGACCAAGUGAGACCAUAUCUCAGGGUACAGAAAGUACCCUGUGUGUGAACUUUGCAAUACUUCGACAAGGCCGCUGGCCUGGAGAAGAUCACGUGUCCAAUUUUUUACAAAGGGAAGAAGGCAGUGAGUGGGGUCUGCAAGCCAUCAGCUGGUGAAUUUGGUGGAUUCUUGGGAAACUCCCAGGCUAUGUUAUUAAAGGAAUGGUUGGUGAGCAUUUAGAAAAGUCAGUGGUGAUCUCUAAGCAUCAGCAUGAAGAACUGGCCACACUAGACCCCUUCUCGUUUCCUUUUUCCACAGGGUCACGAGAAUGGAAGAACAGGGGAGAGAUAGGUAGAUCUAUCUGCAGACAGAUUUUGGCCAAGAUUUUAGCAGAGCAUUUGACAAAAUGCCUUCUGCUCUCCUUUGUAGAUGAAGAGGAGAGAUGUGGCCUAGAUCAGGAGUGUCACACUCAGAUAGAAACAGGAGCCAUUAAUCUGUACAUAGGAGGCCCUGUGGGCUGUAUAUUGGCUUAGUUUGAAAAAGUGAUAUUAUCUGUCUUCUAUUGUACUUGUAUGUGUUUUGUUAAAUAUUUCCCAGUUCCAUUUUAAUCUGAUACAGGCUGUUCUGGGGGGAGUACCCAAGGGAUGUAUCUGUGCCUGACCUCCCAUGGUGUAGCAUUUUAAUCAGUGCCUUAGAGAAUGAAAGCACCCAAAUCCUUUGGUGGGAGUAGCAGUUAACAUCUAGGAGACAAGAGUCUCCGAGUGAGAACAUCUCAAUAGGGAAGAUGGGCCGAACCUACUAAUAAAAUGGAAUCUAAUGUC